UGUGUCCGCUGUCUGGUUCCUCUGUGCUCCAGGUGUUUUUUUCCUGAAGGAAAGCUGCUACUUCCUAUGUGUCAGGAAUUGGCCCUUCCUAUCAUCAUGAAAUGGCAAGGACAGGAGUAUUCAGUGACCACACUUUCAGAAAAUGGCACCAUGCUGGAUCCCAAGCAGUUUCUCAAGACCCUCACAGGAGUGCUGCCAGAAUGCCAAAAAUUACUUGGACUUAAAGUUAAAGGCAAACCUGCAGAAAAUGAUUUUACACGUGAAGCUCUCAAACUGAAACCAAAUACUAAAAUGAUGAUGGGAACUCGUGAGGAGAGCUGGAAAGAUGUCUUGGGUCCACCCCCUGACAAUGAUGAUGUUGUCAACGACUUUGAUAUUGAAAAUGAAGCAGUCAAAGUAGAAAAUAGGGAAGAAAACCUACUGAAAAUUUCUCGCUGAGUGAAAGAAUACAAAGUAGAAAUUUUGAAUCCUCCCAGGGAAGGGAAAAAGCUUUUGGCACUAGAUGUUGAUUAUAUAUUAUUUGACCACAGGUCUUGUGCAAACACUGGAGUAGAAUUAACGCAGCCAUAUCUUCAUGAAUUCCUAGCAUCUGCAUAUGAGGAUUAUGACAUUGUUAUUUGGUCUGCAACAAAUAUGAAGUGGAUUGAAGCUAAAAUGAAAGAGUUGAGAGUGAACACAAAUGCAAAUUAC